ACAUAGAACAAUCUGUUUUUAAGUAGGGAUCAACGAUUCUAAAAGAAAUGAAUCCCAGAUUGGUUUUCAGUAAAUCAAGCAUCUUCU
rnacentral:pre_miRNA from 1 species